AGGGAGCUUGCUCCCGGAUGUUAGCGGCGGACGGGUGAGUAACACGUGGGUAACCUGCCUGUAAGACUGGGAUAACUCCGGGAAACCGGAGCUAAUACCGGAUAGUUCCUUGAACCGCAUGGUUCAAGGAUGAAAGACGGUUUCGGCUGUCACUUACAGAUGGACCCGCGGCGCAUUAGCUAGUUGGUGGGGUAAUGGCUCACCAAGGCGACGAUGCGUAGCCGACCUGAGAGGGUGAUCGGCCACACUGGGACUGAGACACGGCCCAGACUCCUACGGGAGGCAGCAGUAGGGAAUCUUCCGCAAUGGACGAAAGUCUGACGGAGCAACGCCGCGUGAGUGAUGAAGGUUUUCGGAUCGUAAAGCUCUGUUGUUAGGGAAGAACAAGUGCGAGAGUAACUGCUCGCACCUUGACGGUACCUAACCAGAAAGCCACGGCUAACUACGUGCCAGCAGCCGCGGUAAUACGUAGGUGGCAAGCGUUGUCCGGAAUUAUUGGGCGUAAAGGGCUCGCAGGCGGUUUCUUAAGUCUGAUGUGAAAGCCCCCGGCUCAACCGGGGAGGGUCAUUGGAAACUGGGAAACUUGAGUGCAGAAGAGGAGAGUGGAAUUCCACGUGUAGCGGUGAAAUGCGUAGAGAUGUGGAGGAACACCAGUGGCGAAGGCGACUCUCUGGUCUGUAAGUGACGCUGAGGAGCGAAAGCGUGGGGAGCGAACCGGAUUAGAUACCCUGGUAGUCCACGCCGUA
rnacentral:rRNA from 1 species